rnacentral:rRNA from 1 species
UGGCUCAGAGUGAACGCUGGCGGCGUGCUUAACACAUGCAAGUCGAACGGACUUAAGGGGCUUGCUUCUUAAGUUAGUGGCGCACGGGUGAGUAAUAUAUAGCUAACCUGCCCUUUAGUGGGGGACAACAGUUGGAAACGACUGCUAAUACCCUAUACUCCUUCUUACUAUAAGGUAAGUUGGGAAAGAUUUAUCGCUAAAGGAUGGGGCUUUAUUGUAUCAGCUAGUUGGUGGGGUAAUGGCCUACCAAGGCUAUGACGCAUACCUGGUCUGAGAGGAUGAUCAGGCACACUGGAACUGAGACACGGUCCAGACUCCUACGGGAGGCAGCAGUGGGGAAUAUUGCACAAUGGAGGAAACUCUGAUGCAGCAACGCCGCGUGGAGGAUGACGCAUUUCGGUGUGUAAACUCCUUUUAUAGGGGAAGAUAAUGACGGUACCCUAUGAAUAAGCACCGGCUAACUCCGUGCCAGCAGCCGCGGUAAUACGGAGGGUGCAAGCGUUACUCGGAAUCACUGGGCGUAAAGGAUGCGUAGGCUGGAAAUCAAGUCGAGAGUGAAAUCCAACGGCUCAACCGUUGAACUGCUCUCGAAACUGGUUACCUAGAAUAUGGGAGAGGUAGAUGGAAUUAGUGGUGUAGGGGUAAAAUCCGUAGAUAUCACUAGGAAUACCGAUUGCGAAGGCGAUCUACUGGAACAUUAUGACUGGCUCAGAGUGAACGCUGGCGGCGUGCUUAACACAUGCAAGUCGAACGGACUUAAGGGGCUUGCUUCUUAAGUUAGUGGCGCACGGGUGAGUAAUAUAUAGCUAACCUGCCCUUUAGUGGGGGACAACAGUUGGAAACGACUGCUAAUACCCUAUACUCCUUCUUACUAUAAGGUAAGUUGGGAAAGAUUUAUCGCUAAAGGAUGGGGCUUUAUUGUAUCAGCUAGUUGGUGGGGUAAUGGCCUACCAAGGCUAUGACGCAUACCUGGUCUGAGAGGAUGAUCAGGCACACUGGAACUGAGACACGGUCCAGACUCCUACGGGAGGCAGCAGUGGGGAAUAUUGCACAAUGGAGGAAACUCUGAUGCAGCAACGCCGCGUGGAGGAUGACGCAUUUCGGUGUGUAAACUCCUUUUAUAGGGGAAGAUAAUGACGGUACCCUAUGAAUAAGCACCGGCUAACUCCGUGCCAGCAGCCGCGGUAAUACGGAGGGUGCAAGCGUUACUCGGAAUCACUGGGCGUAAAGGAUGCGUAGGCUGGAAAUCAAGUCGAGAGUGAAAUCCAACGGCUCAACCGUUGAACUGCUCUCGAAACUGGUUACCUAGAAUAUGGGAGAGGUAGAUGGAAUUAGUGGUGUAGGGGUAAAAUCCGUAGAUAUCACUAGGAAUACCGAUUGCGAAGGCGAUCUACUGGAACAUUAUGAC